rnacentral:rRNA from 1 species
UACGUAGGGGACGAGCGUUGUCCGGAUUCAUUGGGCGUAAAGCGCGCGUAGGCGGCUCGGAAAGUCGGGCGUGAAAUGCCGGGGCUCAACCCCGGGACUGCGUCCGAUACUGGCAGGCUUGAAUCCGGGAGAGGGAUGUGGAAUUCCAGGUGUAGCGGUGAAAUGCGUAGAUAUCUGGAGGAACACCGGUGGCGAAGGCGGCAACCUGGACCGGUAUUGACGCUGAGGCGCGAAAGCCAGGGGAGCAAACGGG